rnacentral:rRNA from 1 species
AACAUCGCCUCCUGCAAAAAUCAAUGUAUAGGAGGUCCUGCCUGCCCAGUGACAACUUGUUAAACGGCCGCGGUAUUUUGACCGUGCUAAGGUAGCGCAAUCACUUGUCUUUUAAAUGAAGACCUGUAUGAAUGGUGGAACGAGGGCUUAACUGUCUCCCUUCUCCCGUCAAUGAAAUUGAUCUGCCCGUGCAGAAGCGGACAUGUAUAUACAAGACGAGAAGACCCUUUGGAGCUUAUUGGGGCGACCGCGGGGGAAAACAAAGCCCCCACGUAAAACCAAGAGAGACAUCUCUAAGCCACAGAACAUCUGACCAAAAGAUCCGGCCCACAAGCCGAUCAACGAACCAAGUUACCCUAGGGAUAACAGCGCAAUCCCCUCCAAGAGUUCAUAUCGACGAGAGGGUUUACGACCUCGAUGUUGGAUCAGGACAUCCUAAUGGUGCAGCCGCUAUUAAGGGUUCGUUUGUUCAACGAUUAAAGUCCUACGUGAUCU